CCAGACUCCUACGGGAGGCAGCAGUGGGGAAUAUUGGGCAAUGGGCGCAAGCCUGACCCAGCAACGCCGCGUGAAGGAAGAAGGCUUUCGGGUUGUAAACUUCUUUUCUCAGGGACGAAGCAAGUGACGGUACCUGAGGAAUAAGCCACGGCUAACUACGUGCCAGCAGACGCGGUAAUACGUAGGUGGCAAGCGUUAUCCGGAUUUACUGGGUGUAAAGGGCGUGUAGGCGGGACUGCAAGUCAGAUGUGAAAACCACGGGCUCAGCCUGUGGCCUGCAUUUGAAACUGUAGUUCUUGAGUACUGGAGGGGCAGACGGAAUUCCUAGUGUAGCGGUGAAAUGCGUAGAUAUUAGGAGGAACACCAGUGGCGAAGGCGGUCUGCUGGACAGCAACUGACGCUGAGGCGCGAAAUCGUGGGGAGCAAACAGGAUUAGAUCCCCUUGUA
rnacentral:rRNA from 1 species